rnacentral:rRNA from 1 species
UACGAAGGGGGCUAGCGUUGUUCGGAAUCACUGGGCGUAAAGGGCGCGUAGGCGGCUUUAUAAGUCGGGGGUGAAAGCCUGUGGCUCAACCACAGAAUUGCCUUCGAUACUGUAGAGCUUGAGACCGGAAGAGGUUAGUGGAACUGCGAGUGUAGAGGUGAAAUUCGUAGAUAUUCGCAAGAACACCAGUGGCGAAGGCGGCUCACUGGGUCAUUACUGACGCUGAGGCACGGAAAGCGUGGGGAGCAAACAGGG